AACCUUUGACAUGCCCAGUAUGGUCGUCAGAGAUGACUUCCUUCCCGCAAGGGGCUGGAGCACAGGUGCUGCAUGGCUGUCGUCAGCUCGUGUCGUGAGAUGUUGGGUUAAGUCCCGCAACGAGCGCAACCCUCGCCCUUAGUUGCCAUCAUUCAGUUGGGCACUCUAAGGGGACUGCCGGUGAUAAGCCGCGAGGAAGGUGGGGAUGACGUCAAGUCCUCAUGGCCCUUACAGGUUGGGCUACACACGUGCUACAAUGGCGGUGACAGUGGGAUGCAAUGGAGCAAUCCUGCGCAAAUCUCAAAAAGCCGUCUCAGUUCGGAUUGUGCUCUGCAACUCGAGCACAUGAAGUUGGAAUCGCUAGUAAUCGCAGAUCAGCACGCUGCGGUGAAUACGUUCCCGGGCC
rnacentral:rRNA from 1 species